GCGGAUCGCAUGGUCUUGUACCGGCGACGUACUGGUCGAGCGGGUGCCCUAUCAACUAUUGAUGGAAGUCUAUGUGUCUUCCAUGGUUGUAACGGGUAACGGAGAAUAAGGGUUCGACUCCGGAGAGCUAGCCUUAGAAACGGCUAUCACAUCCAAGGAAGGCAGCAGGCGCGUAAAUUACCCACUCUCAAUUCGAGGAGGUAGUGACUAUCAAUAACGAGACAGAUCUCUUUGAGGUCUGUCAUUGAAAUGAGCACAACUUAAAGACUUUAACGAAGUCUAUGGGAGGGCAAGUCUGGUGCCAGCAGCCGCGGUAAUUCCAGCUCCCAACGUGUAUAUCGUCAUUGCUGCGGUUAAAAAGCUCGUAGUUGGAUCUAAGUUCAUGACUGUAGUUCUCCAUGUGAGAUACUGCUAGUCUGGACUGUUUCGCCGGUUUUCCGUAGCUUCGGCUGCGGUGACUGGUGUUGUAACUUUGAUUAAAUCAAUGUGAUUAAAACAGGCGUUUGCUUGAAUGCUUUAUCAUGGAAUAAUAGAAUAUGACUUCGGUCCAUUCUGUUGGUCUUGGGAUUGAAGUAAUGAUUAAAAGGAACAACUCGGGGGCAUCCGUAUCGCUGCGUGAGAGGUGAAAUUCUUU
rnacentral:rRNA from 1 species